rnacentral:rRNA from 1 species
UACGUAGGGGGCAAGCGUUGUCCGGAAUUAUUGGGCGUAAAGCGCGCGCAGGCGGCCGCGUAUGUGACCGGUGACAUCCUCGGGCUCAACCCGAGGCGGCCCCGUUAGACAGCGUAGCUGGAGGCAGGGAGAGGGAUGUGGAAUACCCGGUGGAGCGGUGAAAUGCGCAGAGAUCGGGUGGAGCACCAGCGGCGAAGGCGGCAUCCUGGCCCUGACCUGACGCUGAGGCGCGAUAGCGUGGGGAGCAAACGGG